GUAGUCUCGCACAGAUGCAUAUCAAUAAGCGGAGGAAAAGAAACUAACUAGGAUUCCCUCAGUAACGGCGAGUGAAGCGGGAAGAGCUCAAAUUUGAAAUCUUCAAGGUUCUACCUUGACGAAUUGUAGUUUAAAGAAGUGUUUUCUGUUGGAGUUUUGGUAAAAGUUCUUUGGAAUAGGACAUCAUAGAGGGUGAGAAUCCCGUAUUUGACCAUUACUUUCCAGCUUUGUGAUACACUUUCAAAGAGUCGGAUUGUUUGGGAAUGCAGUCCAAAAUGGGUGGUAAAUUUCAUCUAAAGCUAAAUACUGGCGAGAGACCGAUAGCGAACAAGUACCGUGAGGGAAAGAUGAAAAGAACUUUGAAAAGAGAGUUAAACAGUACGUGAAAUUGUCAAAAGGGAAGCGUUUGACACCAGUGUUGUUUUCCUCGAAAAUCAAUUAAAAAAGGCAGGAUUUUGUGUUGUAUUGACUUUAUCAGCUUUCUGCACUCUUUUCUUGUCUUUUUUUAAUGCACUUUUCGUUUAACAAGUCAACAUCAAUUUCUUUUGUUGUAAAAGGGUCAUUGGAAGGUGGCUUUCUUUUCGGAGAAAGUGUUUAUAGCCUUUGGCCUCUGCAAUCGGAGAGAUUGAGGUCUGCAGCGUAGAUCCUUCGGGGUUAGAUACAUUUGUGCUAAGUUAUAGCCUUUCAUAGACAACUUGUUGACUAUGAUCAGUCAUGUAGCUUACUCGCUUAUGCUAUUUUACCUACGCUUAGGAUGUUGAAGUCAUCGUAUCGCGC
rnacentral:rRNA from 1 species